rnacentral:rRNA from 1 species
UAAGGAAUAUUGGACAAUGCCCGCAAGGGUGAUCCAGCAAUGCCGCGUGCAGGAUGAAGGCCUUCGGGUUGUAAACUGCUUUUGUACGGAGCGAAAAGGUCUGCCCUAAUACGGUGGGCUCAUGACGGUACCGUAAGAAUAAGCACCGGCUAACUACGUGCCAGCAGCCGCGGUAAUACGUAGGGUGCGAGCGUUAAUCGGAAUUACUGGGCGUAAAGCGUGCGCAGGCGGUUAUAUAAGACAGAGGUGAAAUCCCCGGGCUCAACCUGGGACCUGCAUUUGUGCCUGUCUAGCUAGAGUACGGUAGAGGGGGAUGGAAUUCCGCGUGUAGCAGUGAAAUGCGUAGAUAUGCGGAGGAACACCGAUGGCGAAGGCAAUCCCCUGGACCUGUACUGACGCUCAUGCACGAAAGCGUGGGGAGCAAAC